CGCAGACCGCAGACUGGACGGCACUCAGGGCGGUCCCAAUGCCACAGGGAACCACGGCCACGAGGGGGCAAGGCCCUGGGCACCAGGCUUGUGGAAGGCCCUGAGUGCAGGGGUGCAGUGGCCACUCAGAGGGAGUUCCUUGCGGCCGAAGGGAUGCAGGGUCCAGCUCCCGCGGGGCAGGAAGGAGGGGCAGCAGCCGGACUCUGGCCGACCCCCCAGUCUAGCUGUGCAAUCUGGUGAGUUAGUCCAGCCCCUCGGCUCGUGCUCUCACUUGUAAAGCGGUAGAGGCCACUCAUUCCCCAGAGAGCCUCCUGGGCCGGCUGAGCAGGAAUCACAUGCUCCCAGGGCCCACGGGGCACCAACCCCACCCUCGCACCAGUGAGGCCGCCUGGCAGCUGACUUUACAUUUCCCAUCUGGCUGGAUGGGAAAAUGGUCACGGCCAAGGUCAACAUUACAGGAACGUCAUAAAAUGCACAGCAGCCCCGGGGCGGCCGAACCGCACUCAGAGACCUCUCUGGAUGGUGCUCCGUGGAGGAAAAUUCCAGAGUGGCCAGUGAAAACUCAGGGACUGCUCCAUGUGCAGUUAACUGCAUCAACGCUUUGUCCUCGGAGAGUCCUGCACACUCAGCACCGACAUCGGUGGGACCCCAGCCAGGACCCCGAGGACCAGGACAAACAGCCUCCUCCAAGGAGGGAGACGCAGUGCUCGUUUCCAUGGUAACGGCCCUCCCUUCCGCAGCCUCUCGGCGGAGCAGGGUGCUGUCCGGGUCCUCCCAUGCUGAGUGGACGGCCGGGCCUUCGGGGACGAGCCCUGCAGUGAGCGCCCGGAGCGGUGGCCAGACUGACCCUCGGGGGAGCGGGGAGGGCUCCUGGGCCUUUUAGGUCCUGUCGUUCCCACCCUGACCCUCAGGUACCCAAGAGGAGGAGCUCACGUAAUUCACAGUUUUUGCCUUCGAAGCCUUCGGCACAGGUGCAGUUGUACUCCCCGAGGCCGUCUUUGCACUUGCCCUGGUUCUGGCAAGGGCUGCUUUCACACUGGUCGCCGUCUGCAAAGGAAAAUUCGGAAACCAAAGCUUGCGGGCAGUUCCCCAGUCAUGCGGACGACUUUGCCACAUCGGUCUUGGCACACAUUUCUGGAUAACCCGAACGACCUGGAUGGAGCCUCCUGUUUCCAGGAAUCGAGUUGUCCUCUGUGGACGUGGUGGCUCUGGCUAAUUUCUGUUUGAAGAAACUGCUGAGACAACAGCAACGGAAGUAAAAUCCCUGAAGCAAUUACUUAGAUUCAGAAGCAAACUGAAAACUUUAUGUAUCGGGUUCAAACACUGUACUACGUUCAUCAUGACAAAUCAUUGUAAUUGCUAAAUAUUACAGAGUGUUUUAUUAA